CCUACGCGAGGCAGCAGUGAGGAAUAUUGGUCAAUGGGCGGAAGCCUGAACCAGCCAAGUAGCGUGCGGGAUGAAGGCCCUACGGGUCGUAAACCACUUUUGCACGGGGAUAACACCCUCCACUUGUGGAGGUCUGCAGGUACCGUGCGAAUAAGGGCCGGCUAAUUCCGUGCCAGCAGCCGCGGUAAUACGGAAGGUCCGAGCGUUAUCCGGAUUUAUUGGGCUUAAAGGGAGCGUAGGCGGGCGUUAAAGUCCGCGGUAAAAGCGCGCGGCUCAACCGCGCCCCGAAGUUGAAACUGGACGCCUUGAGUUCACGACAGGCAGGCGGAAGUCGUGGUGUAGAGGUGAAAUGCAUAGAUAUCACGAGGAACCCCGAUUGCGAAGGCAGCCUGCCGGGGUGCGACUGACGCUGAGGCUCGAAGGUGCGGGUAUCAAACAGGAUUAGAUACCCCAGUAGUC
rnacentral:rRNA from 1 species